AUUGAACGCUGGCUGCAGGCUUUACACAUGCAAGUAGGACGAGUGGCGAACGGGUGCGUAACGCAUAGGAACGUACCGACUCAUGGGGGAUAACUGGCCGAAAGAACAGCUAAUACCUCAUAUCAUUCGAGCUGGCCACGUCUGAUUAGCUGGUUGGCGGGGUACAGGCCCACCAAGGAGAUGAUCAGUAGCUGGUCUGAGAGGAUGAUCCGCAACACUGGGACUGAGAGACGGACUAGACUCCGACGGGAGGCAGCAGUGUGGAAUUUGGGACAUGGAGCGCAAGCCUGAUCCAGGCAUGCCGCGUGUCUGAAGAAGGCCUUCGGGUUGUAAAGGAAUUGUGUCAGGGAAGCGGUACCUGAAGAAUGAGCACGGGCUAACUACGUGCGAGCAGCCGCGGUAAUAC
rnacentral:rRNA from 1 species